rnacentral:rRNA from 1 species
UCCGUAGGGGGAACCUGCGGAGGGAUCAUUAACGAGUUAUUUAAUCAACUCCCAAACCCUUUGUGAACUUACCGUCGUUGCCUCGGCGUGAGCUGCGGCUACCCUGUACCUACGCAAUAGCUACCCUGUAGCCGGCCCACAGCCCGCCGAAGGACCGUUAAACUCUUGUUUAUACCACUGUAUCUCUGAACACCUAACUGUAAUAAGUUAAAACUUUCAACAACGGAUCUCUUGGUUCUGGCAUCGAUGAAGAACGCAGCGAAAUGCGAUAAGUAAUGUGAAUUGCAGAAUUCAGUGAAUCAUCGAAUCUUUGAACGCACAUUGCGCCCGCCAGCAUUCUGGCGGGCAUGCCUAUUCGAGCGUCAUUUCGACCAUUAAGCCCCUGUUGCUUAGCGUUGGGAGUCUACGUCUACGGGCGUAGUUCCCGAAAGUUAGUGGCGGAGUUAGGGUACACUCUCAGCGUAGUAAUCAUCUCUCGCUCGUGUGGUGGCCCUGGCUGCUGGCCGUUAAACCCCCUAUAUUUUCUAGUGGUUGACCUCGGAUUAGGUAGGAAUACCCGCUGAACUUAAGCAUAUCAAUAAGCGGAGGAA